GACGAACGCUGGCGGCGUGCUUAACACAUGCAAGUCGAACGGAAAGGCCUUUUCGGAGGUACUCGAGUGGCGAACGGGUGAGUAACACGUGGGUGAUCUGCCCUGCACUCUGGGAUAAGCCUGGGAAACUGGGCCUAAUACCGGAUAGGACCGCACUUUAGUGUGUGUGGUGGAAAGUUUUUUCGGUGUAGGAUGAGCCCGCGGCCUAUCAGCUUGUUGGUGGGGUAAUGGCCUACCAAGGCGGCGACGGGUAGCCGGACUGAGAGGUUGGUCGGCCACAUUGGGACUGAGAUACGGCCCAGACUCCUACGGGAGGCAGCAGUGGGGAAUAUUGCACAAUGGGCGCAAGCCUGAUGCAGCGACGCCGCGUGGGGGAUGACGGCCUUCGGGUUGUAAACUCCUUUCGCCAGGGACGAAGCGUUUUGUGACGGUACCUGGAGAAGAAGCACCGGCUAACUACGUG
rnacentral:rRNA from 1 species